CUUCUUUGUCAAUUCCCCUGUCUCCUGAAUGUCUCAUUCUCAAACUCAUUUUGCUUGAAAUUGUGGUGGGAGAUGGUAUGUUUGAAACUUAAUAUGCUGAACACAGAACAGAAAUGUUGUGAAUUCAAGACAGAGCAUUGUUUCCUGCCAGAGUCUUUCUGGAAAAGGCAGUAGUGCUAAGGCAGGGUUUCUCUCAGAAAUACAGCGAGCCCUGAAGGAUUUCUAUUGGGUAGGUUUCAGUAAAAAUGAUGAAUCAAUAUUGUUUUUAU
rnacentral:lncRNA from 1 species